rnacentral:rRNA from 1 species
AAUCCAUAGGUUAAUGAGGCGAACCGGGGGAACUGAAACAUCUAAGUACCCCGAGGAAAAGAAAUCAACCGAGAUUCCCCCAGUAGCGGCGAGCGAACGGGGAGGAGCCCAGAGCCUGAAUCAGCAUGUGUGUUAGUGGAAGCGUCUGGAAAGGCGCGCGAUACAGGGUGACAGCCCCGUACACAAAAGCGCAUGUGCUGUGAGCUCGAUGAGUAGGGCGGGACACGUGGUAUCCUGUCUGAAUAUGGGGGGACCAUCCUCCAAGGCUAAAUACUCCUGACUGACCGAUAGUGAACCAGUACCGUGAGGGAAAGGCGAAAAGAACCCCGGCGAGGGGAGUGAAAAAGAACCUGAAACCGUGUACGUACAAGCAGUGGGAGCCCCACCACCAAAGCAUUCUCUGGUGUUGAAGGCCCUGCAAAGCAGCAUCGCGGUGGCGGAGCGUCGUUUGCGACGCCCAACACACAAAACAAGCGGUGAGUGCUUUGGGGUGGGGUGACUGCGUACCUUUUGUAUAAUGGGUCAGCGACUU